rnacentral:rRNA from 1 species
GCAUAUCAAUAAGCGGAGGGAAAAGAAACCAACAGGGAUUGCCCUAGUAACGGCGAGUGAAGCGGCAACAGCUCAAAUUUGAAAUCUGGCUCUUUUAGAGUCCGAGUUGUAAUUUGCAGAGGGCGCUUUGGCUUUGGCAGCGGUCCAAGUUCCUUGGAACAGGACGUCACAGAGGGUGAGAAUCCCGUACGUGGUCGCUAGCUAUUGCCGUGUAAAGCCCCUUCGACGAGUCGAGUUGUUUGGGAAUGCAGCUCUAAAUGGGAGGUAAAUUUCUUCUAAAGCUAAAUAUUGGCCAGAGACCGAUAGCGCACAAGUAGAGUGAUCGAAAGAUGAAAAGCACUUUGGAAAGAGAGUCAAACAGCACGUGAAAUUGUUGAAAGGGAAGCGCUUGCAGCCAGACUUGCUUGCAGUUGCUCAUCCGGGCUUUUGCCCGGUGCACUCUUCUGCAGGCAGGCCAGCAUCAGUUUGGGCGGUGGGAUAAAGGUCUCUGACACGUUCCUCUCUUCGGGGAGGCCAUAUAGGGGAGACGUCAUACCACCAGCCUGGACUGAGGUCCGCGCAUCUGCUAGGAUGCUGGCGUAAUGGCUGUAAGCGGCCCGUCUUGAAACACGGACCAAGGAGUCUAACAUCUAUGCGAGUGUUUGGGUGUCAAGCCCGAACGCGUAAUGAAAGUGAACGGAGGUGGGAACCCGCAAGGGCGCACCAUCGACCGAUCCUGAAGUUUACGGAAGGAUUUGAGUAAGAGCAUGGCUGUUGGGACCCGAAAGAUGGUGAACUAUGCUUGAAUAGGGUGAAGCCAGAGGAAACUCUGGUGGAGGCUCGCAGCGGUUCUGACGUGCAAAUCGAUCGUCAAAUUUGGGCAUAGGGGCGAAAGACUAAUCGAACUAUCUAGUAGCUGGUUCCUGCCGAAG